rnacentral:sRNA from 1 species
CCGGGGAUUCAGUCAAGACCAUCGCCAAGCUAUGGGACAGUAAGAUGUUUGCUGAGAUUAUGAUGAAGAUUGAGGAGUAUAUCAGCAAGCAAGCCAAAGCUUCAGAAGUGAUGGGACCAGUGGAGGCAGCACCUGAAUACCGCGUCAUCGUGGAUGCCAACAACCUGACCGUGGAGAUCGAAAAUGAGCUGAACAUCAUCCAUAAGUUCAUCCGGGAUAAGUACUCAAAGAGAUUCCCUGAACUGGAGUCCUUGGUCCCCAAUGCACUGGAUUACAUCCGCACGGUCAAGGAGCUGGGCAACAGCCUGGACAAGUGCAAGAACAAUGAGAACCUGCAGCAGAUCCUCACCAAUGCCACCAUCAUGGUCGUCAGCGUCACCGCCUCCACCACCCAGGGGCAGCAGCUGUCGGAGGAGGAGCUGGAGCGGCUGGAGGAGGCCUGUGACAUGGCGCUGGAGCUGAACGCCUCCAAGCACCGCAUCUACGAGUACGUGGAGUCCCGGAUGUCCUUCAUCGCACCCAACCUGUCCAUCAUUAUCGGGGCAUCCACGGCCGCCAAGAUCAUGGGUGUGGCCGGCGGCCUGACGAACCUCUCCAAGAUGCCCGCCUGCAACAUCAUGCUGCUCGGGGCCCAGCGCAAGACGCUGUCGGGCUUCUCGUCUACCUCAGUGCUGCCCCACACCGGCUACAUCUACCACAGUGACAUCGUGCAGUCCCUGCCACCGGAUCUGCGGCGGAAAGCGGCCCGGCUGGUGGCCGCCAAGUGCACACUGGCAGCCCGUGUGGACAGUUUCCACGAGAGCACAGAAGGGAAGGUGGGCUACGAACUGAAGGAUGAGAUCGAGCGCAAAUUCGACAAGUGGCAGGAGCCGCCGCCCGUGAAGCAGGUGAAGCCGCUGCCUGCGCCCCUGGAUGGACAGCGGAAGAAGCGAGGCGGCCGCAGGUGAGGGGCCCUGGGGGUCCAGUAGGCAUGGGGGUCAUGGAGGGGAGAAGCUGGCGUCCUCCUCCCAGCUGACUCCCUGGCGCCGCCCACCCACCCGUCCCCAGGUACCGCAAGAUGAAGGAGCGGCUGGGGCUGACGGAGAUCCGGAAGCAGGCCAACCGUAUGAGCUUCGGAGAGAUCGAGGAGGACGCCUACCAGGAGGACCUGGGAUUCAGCCUGGGCCACCUGGGCAAGUCGGGCAGUGGGCGUGUGCGGCAGACGCAGGUAAACGAGGCCACCAAGGCCAGGAUCUCCAAGACGCUGCAGGUAUGGGCCAGACCCAGGUGGGGCUGGGGACCGAGGGACACAAGGUCGGGGGAGCCCAGAUCGCAGCCUCCCUGUCCUCCCCACAGCGGACCCUGCAGAAGCAGAGCGUCGUGUAUGGCGGGAAGUCCACCAUCCGCGACCGCUCCUCGGGCACGGCCUCCAGCGUGGCCUUCACCCCACUCCAGGGCCUGGAGAUUGUGAACCCACAGGCGGCAGAGAAGAAGGUGGCUGAGGCCAACCAGAAGUAUUUCUCCAGCAUGGCUGAGUUCCUCAAGGUCAAGGGCGAGAAGAGUGGCCUUAUGUCUACCUGAAUGACUGCGUGUGUCCAAGGUGGCUUCCCACUGAAGGGACACAGAGGUCCAGUCCUUCUGAAGGGCUGGGAUCGGGUUCUGGCAGGGAGAACCUGCCCUGCCACUGGCCCCAUUGCUGGGACUGCCCAGGGAGGAGGCCUUGGAAGAGUCCGGCCUGGCCUCCCCCAGGACCGAGAUCACCGCCCAGUAUGGGCUAGAGCAGGUCUUCAUCAUGCCUUGUCUUUUUUAACUGAGAAAGGAGAUACUUUUUUGAAAAGAGUACAAUUAAAAGGACAUUGUC